rnacentral:rRNA from 1 species
CAGCAGCCGCGGGAAUACGUAUGUCACAAGCGUUAUCCGGAUUUAUUGGGCGUAAAGCGCGUCUAGGUGGUUAUGUAAGUCUGAUGUGAAAAUGCAGGGCUCAACUCUGUAUUGCGUUGGAAACUGUGUAACUAGAGUACUGGAGAGGUAAGCGGAACUACAAGUGUAGAGGUGAAAUUCGUAGAUAUUUGUAGGAAUGCCGAUGGGGAAGCCAGCUUACUGGACAGAUACUGACGCUAAAGCGCGAAAGCGUGGGUAGCAAACAGGAUUAGAUACCCGCGUAGUCCCUGUCUCUUAUACA